rnacentral:rRNA from 1 species
UACGGGAGAAAGCAGGGGACCUUCGGGCCUUGCGCUAUCAGAUGAGCCUAGGUCGGAUUAGCUAGUUGGUGGGGUAAUGGCUCACCAAGGCGACGAUCCGUAACUGGUCUGAGAGGAUGAUCAGUCACACUGGAACUGAGACACGGUCCAGACCCCUACGGGAGGCAGCAGUGGGGAAUAUUGGACAAUGGGCGAAAGCCUGAUCCAGCCAUGCCGCGUGUGUGAAGAAGGUCUUCGGAUUGUAAAGCACUUUAAGUUGGGAGGAAGGGUUGUAGAUUAAUACUCUGCAAUUUUGACGUUACCGACAGAAUAAGCACCGGCU